rnacentral:rRNA from 1 species
GUAGGGAAUCUUGCGCAAUGGGCGAAAGCCUGACGCAGCCAUGCCGCGUGAAUGAUGAAGGUCUUAGGAUUGUAAAAUUCUUUCACCGGGGACGAUAAUGACGGUACCCGGAGAAGAAGCUCCGGCUAACUUCGUGCCAGCAGCCGCGGUAAUACGAAGGGGGCUAGCGUUGCUCGGAAUUACUGGGCGUAAAGGGCGCGUAGGCGGACAGCUUAGUCAGAGGUGAAAGCCCAGGGCUCAACCUUGGAAUUGCCUUUGAUACUGGCUGUCUUGAGUUUGGGAGAGGUGAGUGGAACUCCGAGUGUAGAGGUGAAAUUCGUAGAUAUUCGGAAGAACACCAGUGGCGAAGGCGACUCACUGGCCCAAUACUGACGCUGAGGCGCGAAAGCGUGGGGAGCAAACAGGAUUAGAAACCCUUGUAGUCC